rnacentral:rRNA from 1 species
GUGAGGUAAUGGCUCACCAAGGCAUUGACGGGUAGCUAGUCUGAGAGGACGAAUAGCCACACUGGGACUGAGACACGGCCCAGACUCCUACGGGAGGCAGCAGUGGGGAAUCUUGCACAAUGGGCGAAAGCCUGAUGCAGCGACGCCGCGUGGGGGAUGAAGGCCUUAGGGUCGUAAACCCCUUUCAGUGGGGACGAAAAUGACGGUACCCACAGAAGAAGGUCCGGCCAACUACGUGCCAGCAGCCGCGGUAAGACGUAGGGACCAAGCGUUAUCCGGAUUUAUUGGGCGUAAAGAGCUCGUAGGCGGUUGCGUAAGUCGGAUGUGAAAACUCAGGGCUUAACCCUGAGACGCCAUCCGAUACUGCGCUGACUUGAAUCCAGUAGGGGAGUGUGGAAUUUGUUGUGUAGCGGUGAAAUGCGCAGAUAUAACAAGGAACACCUAUGGCGAAGGCAGCACUCUGGGCCGAUACUGACACUGAGGAGCGAAAGCAUGGGUAGCAACCAGGAUUAGAUACCCUGGUAGUCCAUGCCGUAAACGGUGGGCACUAGGUGUGGGGACUUUCAACGGUUUCCGUGCCGAAGCUAACGCAUUAAGUG